CAGGCACAUACAGAAUCGUUUCACAGUUUCAAUUAAUGUAUACCAGUAAAAGACAAAAGUUACAGGUAAUUUCGGAUAAUACAGACCUCCACCCACUGAUCCCCUGCAAGUGUCUGAAAAUUAUGACCCAUAAUGGUCAAGUUUCAGGCUACCGUAUCAGUAGAAUGUUGACAACAAAUUCCACCAAAAUUUAAAAAAAAAUUAACUAUUCUUAACAAUGGACAUUUUAGGUCUAAGACGGAGUUCUGUGAUGUUUCUUUACCAACGUUGCCAAUUUUUGCUGAAGUGUUCUUUGAAUUCAGAUCAAAUAAAAGCUGCAGAAGCAGCUUCUCUGAAAGAACAUUCACAUGAAAAAAUGUGAAAUUGCUGCUUAUAACGGAUACUUAUUGAGUGCAAUUAAUGAUAUAAGAUUUGAAAUUAAAGAUCUACAGUUGUCUUCCUCCACAGAAGAACUUAUAUGUGUGGAAAAAUACAUUAUUUAUCAACACAUCUUAUCUUUAUAGAUUAACUAGACAAUAUAUUAAGUCAAAAAAAUUAUUUAAAUGUGCUGGAAUAUAACAUAAUUCUACUUCAGAUUUGAAUGAUUUGAUACUGUGCUAUGUCCGACCUGAAAAAACCUGUGUCAUCAGAGGAAUUAAUAGAUACAAUAAAAGAUAUACAAAGAUGUGAAUUAGAAUUUGAUGAGAGUGACGUUGGUGAAGCGAGUAGUGAUAGUCCCUGGCAUGGAUGGAAUAAGCCCGUAAACUUUUUCCCGAUGCCAUCGGACCUUGCCACGCCAGUUUUAAAAUAUAUGGGUAAAAAAUUGAAACAGAAACUUUGUCAGGUGCAGCAUACAAAAUCUUUUCUUUUUUUAUCUUUGAGAUAUCUCGAUCUUUCCAAAACAUGAUCUUUUUGGUGGCAAACAGCACAUGUCUUAAAAGUAACAUGAAAGUACAUUAUUUAUUCAUAUGUGGAUCUUUCAGUGUAAAAUUAAUAAUUAUCAGAUUCAUAUAUCACCAUGUACAUGUACAAUAGUAUAGGUUGUUAUUAAUUAAGUAAACUGUCCUAUAGAUCAACGGUCAUUCCCA